CUAAAUUCGCUCGAGCGGCCUGUCGAGCGAACAUCGAGCAUUCAACUCUGCCUGAAUUCACUCGAGUGGCUAAAUGCCUCCGCUCGAGCGAUCUCUUUUCCCACAACUCGCUCGAGCCCACUGUUGAGCAGAAGUCGAGCGCUUGAAUCUGCCUAACUUCGCUCGAGCGGCCAGAAGCCGCCGCUCUAGCGAUAUGUACCAUAAUCCAUAUUAAUCAAUAGUUGAUAAAAUUAGAGCAAAAAUUCAUGCUUUUAAUUAAUUAAAAUCACAACUUUGAUUCAUUCAUUUUUCCCUAUAAAACCAAUGAUAAAGUAAUGAAAGAAUUAAUAUAUAUUGGUUCCAAAAGUAUUAAAAAUGCAAUAAUUCAGUUCAAUCAUAAGGCAAAAGUAAAUGCAACAUUGAACAAGAAUGACAAAUGUGUUGUCGCCAUUGUUCAAAAUGCUCACAACCACAUUACUGUGAGUCUAAAAAAGACAAGACUCAUACAAUCUCACAAGUAUCUAGAUGAAUAUAGUCAAAUAAUCCUCAACUUGAAUGAUAUAGCCGGUAUCCAAAUGAAUAAGAAUUAUUAUUCUCUUGUCGUAGACGCAGGGGGUUUUGAGAACCUAGAUUUCCAAGAGAAAGAUUGUCAGAAUUACAUUGACAAGACUAGACAUUUAAGAUUGGGUAAAGGAGAUGGUGAAGCACUUAGUGACUAUUUCCGAAGAAUGAGAAAUCAAAAUGAUGGUUUCAUUUAUGACAUUGACGUUGAUGAUGAGGGAAGGUUAAGGAAUGUCUUUUGGGCUGAUGCACGAAGUCAAGUAGCUUAUGAAUAUUUCAGAGACGUUAUAACCUUUGAUACAACUUAUCUAACAAACCAAUACGGGAUGCCUUUUACUCCAUUUGUUCGUGUUAACCACCAUGGCCAAUCCAUACUACUAGUGACGGGGUUGUUGUCGAACAAGAAUACACAUACCUUUGUUUGAUUGUUCCGAAUGUGGUUGUAUUGCAUGAAUGGUCGAGUGCCCAAAGCAAUCAUAACCGACCAAGAUCGGGCAAUGAAGAAUGCAAUUGCGCUUGUAUUUUCGGAGACCUGUCAUAGAUAUUGUCUAUAACAUAUCAUACGCAAACUUCCAGAGAAGUUAGGAUCUCACUCCCAAUUCAGCACGGGGUUAAAGACUCCCAUUUAGGCUGCUUUGUAUGAUUCACAAACCUGCACGAAAUUUGAGGAGAGAUGGGGUCAACUACUUGAUAAGUAUGACCUCAGAGGGAAUAGUUGGCUCCAGACCUUCUACGAUGAAAGGUCAUUUUGGGUUCCAGUGUACUUGAAUGAUGUUUUCUGGACUGGUAUGAGCACCACACAACGUUCAGAAAGCAUGAAUACUUUUUUCGAUGGGUAUGUCUAUUCUAGCAUCACCUUGAAAGAAUUUGUCGACUAAUUUGAUAAUGCUCUACGCAAGAAGGUCGAAAUAGAGACGACGACUGACUUCAACUCUAGCAACCAACUAUCCCCUGUGUUUCCUCUUUCAACUUUGAGAACUUUGAGAAGCAGUUUCAGAAGGUAUAUACAAAUGCAAAGUUUAAAGAGUUCCAACAAGAGGUGAUGGGCAUAAUGUGUUGUAAUUGCACACUAGUAAGUAAGCAAGGGUGCAUUUCAACUUUUGAUAUGUUGGAUGAAAUAUCUUUGAUGACUGCACAAAAACAAUCCACUACACACUUUACUAUAACGAAGAUGAAUGUGAGCUAAAGUGCACACUUGUGGAUUGUUUGAGAUGAGGGGUAUUUUAUGUAGACAUGCACUUAGAGUUUGUCAGUUCAAGAGGAUUAAUGUGCUCCUAGACAAAUAUGUCUUGGAUCAUUGGAGGAAGUAUGAGAAGAAAACACAUUGAUCCAAAGUAGUUAUGAUGACCAUCGGGCUAGUGGAGACGCACUGAGGUAUGAGAUGGUGGUUAAAACAUGCAUGAAAUUAGCAACAAAAAUAUCCCCAAAUGAGAUGCGUGUCAAUGUGUUCCUGCGGAUAGUCCAGGACUUUGAUAAAGGAGGUGAUGAUGUAACAUUUGGGUCGAAAUCCGAGUCAACAAAUGUGGAGGGACCAAACAUAGUCAUUAAUAAGGGUAAAAAGAUAUUAAGUCCCCACGUGAUCCGAGGGAAAGGGGGACCCCCUAAUAAGAAAAAGGUUCCGCCUGUGGAAAAGAUGGCAACUAAGAGAAAGAAAAAAUAGACCUAUAAGAAAAUAUUUGAUGAUGACAAACCAUUGGCUGACAUAACGGGAGCUCCACUUGAGCAACACAACAUUAUCCGUCAAUUGAUGCCAUCGAGAGAUGAGGUCUUCAUUUCUUGUUCUACCUCUUGUCUUCGCUUACCUGUGAAUUUUCUAAAUUUUUUAUUAAGUAUGUUGAAUUCUUUAUGAUUGAGAACCUAAAUCUAUAUUUGUUUUAUUUUAGAUGUGUGAACAUCUUGAUGUGCUGUAAUGAUGGAGAUGCUUUGUGGAGGGUUUCUGGAGAUAUUAUGUGGAGAUUUUGUGAUGAUAUGAAAUUUUGUGGAGAUCUAAUGUGGAGAUCCAAAGUAGUUUGAUGGUGGGAAAUUUUGUGGAGGGUUUUUGGACAUAUUUUGUGGAGAUCUUGUAAUGAAUGUCCAUUCUGUGAAGUGAUUGUUUCGCAUUUUUGAUAUGUUUUGAUGGUGGUAGAUUUUGUGGAGGGUCUACAUGUAAGGGUUAGUAGUAAGUUUAUGAACGGGUUCGAGUUUAGAAGAUAAGUUAUGCAUUUAUCAGAAUUUUGGAUUUUCUGUGCAUAUUAAAUGGUGUUUUUAUUAUACACACUUGCUUUUUCCAUUCCCAGGAUAUAUGGUAAACCGCAGGACUUUGGAUGACUAUUAGUUUUCGCAUCAUCAUAAAAUUUAUAUACUUUAAGGAAAAUACAUUUUUGAACUAAUUAAUGGUAGUAAUGCUUUUUAAGUCAUGCGUGAUGAUUUAAAUUAUGAAUACUAUGGUUGUGCUUAUUAUUUUUGCUUCAAGCAAAGCUUUGGAGCGCUUUCUAAUUAGAAUUCAUUAACAUGUUUUAAGGUUGGAUGCAUACUUACACAUUGUUGGUGGCGCAGGUUGUUUGAUGUCUUACUUACCUUGAUAAGAUAGGCUGACGGCCAGGGGAAUGCAUUCAGGGGGGGAGAGAACAUAAUAAAAUUACACUAUUUUAUGAGUACAUUUAUGACACUAUAGAUUGUUUAGAAAAAAAUGAUUAAUAUUUGAAUUGAUCACUGCAUGCCCUUUCUGAUUACAAGUCUCUUGUAGAGCAUUAACUAAUAUAUAGAAGGGGAACUGAUAACUGCAUCACCUCAGUUUGACAUUGAAAAAAUCUGGAAAAAACCGCAUCAUCCACAACAUUUCGUGAAUAACACGUGGCGGAAAGAGACACUAGUGACAUCAUGAUGAUUUCUUGAGAUUUAAAGUUUUACAAGUUCUUAUCAAUUUUCAUGGCUGAAACAAUUUAUUCUUCACUAUCAUCUUCUUCUUAUAGAUUUUGACAUGUCUUACAAUCUUGAAUGAUCGAUUAGUUCCCUAUGUUAGGUCUUUAUUGAACUUUUUUGGUAUACAUAAAAAUAUAUGGUAGUGACCUAUAACUACAUGGUUGUGAAGCUCAUUGAAUGUACUAUAUUAUACCGAAUGCCCAAAUUCAUGUUGGAUUUUAUUCACUUGGGACUUUGCAAGUUCGUCGAAGCACCUGGAAGAAGUUUUUGAAUCAAGAACCAUAAUUGUGACUAAUUUAAACAGAUAGAAAUAUGAUAGAUGCGUUUUAUAUACAAUGAGUUGGGUUUCUUAGUUGUGCUUACAAAACAAUAUUGUAGGUUACAGUACAUUAUAGUUUACAAUGCUAUUAGAUGACAACUACAAUGUUUGUUUAUAGCUGGUGUUGUUAUACACACCAUUUCGGGGUUUUUUUUUUCUUUUUUUUUUAAUCAUGAAUAUUUGAGCAAAUUUCCUAUAAAUCACAUGUUAUGUUGAUGUUUAUGUGAAUUAAUCAUGUUAUAAUUACUAUAAUGGCAACUAAAGUCAGUUUAGAAAUAUAUUUCAUUACUUUAAGUGCAACAUUUGAUUAAAACUGCAAAGGGUCAUGAAGAAUAAAGAAAUAAGGCCUUAACUCUUCAUGUUUCCAUGCAGUAUGCACACUCUUCAUGCCAUUUUAUAUCUAAUCUUUUGUUUCAUUUAUGCCAUUCCAGAUUUGAAGUUUGCUUUUGGUUAACAUUCCAGCAGAUGAGGGAAUGGAGAUUGUGGUGCAUACUUUCAGGAUUGACUAACAGUGACAAAAUGGAAGCUCAGACAAGAUGUUUAUGAUUUGCAUUUGCAGCAUAUAUUUAAUUUAGUGAAUGUAACUUUAGCACCCUAUGUGGUUGCAAAGCAUGCUUUCAUUUUUGUAUAUAUUGAGAGAUAGAAGAUGUAGCUGAAUGUAUACGUUGUAGAUGAAUAUUGUAAUGAUUCAAUAGAAAGCAUGAUUAUUUUCUACAUGCUAA